UUGGCUUUAAACAAGAAAUUUCUCUUGUGAUUCGAUUCCUUGAAUUAUCGGAACAAGUUAAAAUAAUUUUUUUUCGAGUUCGAGUUAGUUGUCGCGUUGGUUCGAAAGUGAUCUACUCAACUUUCGUCGCCCCCGUCUCUGCUCGGCAAAAAGUUAAUUUUCUUCCUUGUCUUAGUUUAUUUUUCAUAGUUCAUGAAUCUGUGUAGAUUAGUUUAGUUCUAAUUUUGUUUAAAUUAGAUAGUAAUCUUCUUGCCGUCUUAGUAUUUUUAGUUUUCAUGUAGAUUAAGUUUAGUUUAGUUCUAAUGUUGGUUGAGUUAAGUAAGUAAUAUUUCCCUCCUCUAGCUCGUUUUCUGUUUGAUUCCUAUAAGUAGUAUAAGUUCCUUUAUGUUUUUUUUUUUUUUUAGUUUUCUGGUGUAAUUCUAUUUUAACUUGCUUAACCUUUUAAUGUUGUUAUUUUGCGCUAUAGAAAAUUAUAGUAUUGGAGUACAACAUGAAAGUAUAAAAUUAUCUCUUUAGCUUCAGUUUUGACUCACCUUGUAUGUUCUUACUCUUUGUCUCAUCUGGAUAGUGAUCUUGAUAAAUUUUUCAAAGGGUUAUGGAUCCGUGUUUGUUUGAAUGGUGUGGUUACUGUUAUUUCAAUUCUGCAUUUGCCUUCAGAAAUCUAUUUAUGGGAUUAAUGAGGUCUUUUAAAAACUAUUCUGAUUUUUUUUAAAAAAAAUAAUAACUUUGGUUUCUUCUGAAUUUCUGGGCAGAUUAGUUUAGGAUAAAGUGGAUUCCCUCUUAUUUAUAGUAUAACCCUUGCAUAUUCUCAGAUAUGUUGAGAUGAUUUGUCAUAAAGCAUGCCAUUUUAAUAAGCUUAUGUGGUAAGGUAUUUAGUUAAAAGAGUGUUGUAAAAAAAUCAAUUGUCUUUGCUUGAAGAUUUCAGUAACUUUGUAAAAGAUGACGAACAACUCUAUUUCUGUUUCCUUUUGAGUAUUUAAAUGUUGAAUGAACCAAUUCGAGCAUCUUAGUGUAUUCUCAUUUGCUUGCUCGUACUAUGAAAUUCUCAAAGAGUGUGCUUUGCUUUGAAGAUCAGUGACUUUUUUUUUUCCAGAACUUAGGGGAAUUGGUUUUGGCCCUUUCUUCAGGGAAGUGUUGUGGACUGUUAGGAACCUCCUUGUUAAAGAAAAUCAAAUUUGUGGUCCUACUAGAAUAGGUGGGUAAAUGAGCAUAACUAAGAUUAGAAAGUUUGUCCCUUCUAGUUCAUGUUCAAGCAUUUGUCUUCUAAAAUUGCUAUUUUCCGAGAACAGAAUAUUGAUUUUCAACUUGCCUAAUUGCCCAUUUGCGUUUAACAUUUACAAAUCAGCAACUUGCUAUCUAAGCUAAGUGUACUACAUUGGAGAUUUGGUUUAACUCCUCCCCUUAGAAGUUGCUUUUUAAAGACUGACCAUUUUUUUUAUCCGAGAAUGAAGAGUUCAACAAAUGAAUUGCUUGGGUAAUUCACUGUCUUUGCUGGUUUGCUGUCAUUGUUUGUUCUGUCAUGAGCUGAUUACAUGCUUAAGUUAAAGAUGUCAUGGCUGAUUACAUGCUUAAAUUAAAGAUGUCAUGGGCUCAUUACAUGUUUAAGUGAAAGAUUCGGAUAUAUGUUCAUUAUCCUUCUUAUUUUGAAUAUGCAAAAGAAUGAAGUUUUAAGUUGCUUGAAAUACCUAAGGACAUUUGUUAUGAUGUUAAAUGUCACCAGAUGGUUUUAAAGAGUUAGUAUUAGCCUUGCGUUUUUUGAAACAAUUAGCAAAUGACUAUAUGUAAGCGUACCUUGGAUUGGAUCAAAACAUGUUUUACUUCCCAUGCUUCCUUUUCUAACAGGCCCUAGAUGGUUCAUUCAUCAGUAGGUUGUUUUGAUUAAUAUAGUUGGUAUUUAACUUAAUUAAUAUUAUUAACUAUCAUCUGAUUAAUGUUAAUCAUUCUCCCGUCACAUGCUAAUUUCCUUCUCUCUUCUUUUCCAUGUGUGAAACGAGUACAACGGAUUUAUGCAUUUUCCCACAUUAUGUGUUGGCCUGAGGCCCAUCAUUGCAUUAGAUCGAGUCCAACCGUGGAUAGAAGGCCCAAUAAUGGGUGAAAAUUGUCAAUAUUUACGUUGAUGGGCUUGGUAAUCCCAUUAAUCCAUUUCCGCUCUUUUUCUCAUAAUGUGUAUGUAUGAGUGCUUGUAAAUAUUGAAACCCAUGUAUGUUAGGACUUGGGAAAUUCCGAGUAGAGAUUAGGAGAAAGCUUUUCAAACGAUUUUAUAAAAAACGGACCACGCACCAAGCUAAUAAUCGCGUGAAAUUAAUAAAAAGACUAUGAAAUUCUUUGGCAAAACAAAUCAAAACUGAAACUAUGCAUGUAUGAAUGAACAAAUGAUUUUUAUAUCCUGUUGGUUUCUUGGAAAAGAGCUGGGAAUAAAUAGGCUGUUUUUGGACUAAAUUCGGUUAAACAAAAAAUGUUGCUCCCAUUCAUGAAGGUAAAACCAGUGUUUUAAAAGGCG